rnacentral:rRNA from 1 species
AAUAGAUACCCAGGUAGUCCACGCCGUAAACGAUGGGUGCUAGACGUUGGCGAGCUUGCUCGUCAGUGUCGCAGCUAACGCGUUAAGCACCCCGCCUGGGGAGUACGGCCGCAAGGUUGAAACUCAAAGGAAUUGACGGGGGCCCGCACAGGCGGUGGAGCAUGUGGUUCAAUUCGACGCAACGCGCAGAACCUUACCAGCCCUUGACAUGUGACUCGCCGGCUCCAGAGACGGAGCCUUCGGUUCGGCCGGAGUCAGCACAGGUGCUGCAUGGCUGUCGUCAGCUCGUGUCGUGAGAUAUUGGGUUAAGUCCCGCAACGAGCGCAACCCUCGUCUCCAGUUGCCAUCAGGUUAAGCUGGGCACUUUGGAGAAACUGCCGGUGACAAGCCGGAGGAAGGUGGGGAUGACGUCAAGUCCUCAUGGCCCUUACGGGCUGGGCUACACACGUGCUACAAUGGCGGUGACAGUGGGAUGCGAAGGGGCGACCCGGAGCCGAUCCCCAAAAACCGUCCCAGUUCGGAUUGCACU